AACGAACGCUGGCGGCAUGCCUAACACAUGCAAGUCGAACGAGACCUUCGGGUCUAGUGGCGCACGGGUGCGUAACGCGUGGGAACCUGCCCUUAGGUUCGGAAUAACUCCCCGAAAGGGGUGCUAAUACCGGAUAAUGUCUUCGGACCAAAGAUUUAUCGCCUUUGGAUGGGCCCGCGUUGGAUUAGCUAGUUGGUAGGGUAAAAGCCUACCAAGGCGACGAUCCAUAGCUGGUCUGAGAGGAUGAUCAGCCACACUGGGACUGAGACACGGCCCAGACUCCUACGGGAGGCAGCAGUGGGGAAUAUUGGACAAUGGGCGAAAGCCUGGUCCAGCAAUGCCGCGUGAGUGAUGAAGGCCUUAGGGUUGUAAAGCUCUUUUACCCGGGAUGAUAAUGACAGUACCGGGAGAAUAAGCUCCGGCUAACUCCGU
rnacentral:rRNA from 1 species